rnacentral:rRNA from 1 species
AACGAACGCUGGCGGCAUGCCUAACACAUGCAAGUCGAACGAGAUCUUCGGGUCUAGUGGCGCACGGGUGCGUAACGCGUGGGAAUCUGCCCUUUGGUUCGGAAUAACAGUUGGAAACGACUGCUAAUACCGGAUGAUGACGAAAGUCCAAAGAUUUAUCGCCAGAGGAUGAGCCCGCGUAGGAUUAGCUAGUUGGUGUGGUAAAGGCGCACCAAGGCGACGAUCCUUAGCUGGUCUGAGAGGAUGAUCAGCCACACUGGGACUGAGACACGGCCCAGACUCCUACGGGAGGCAGCAGCGGGGAAUAUUGGACAAUGGGCGAAAGCCUGAUCCAGCAAUGCCGCGUGAGUGAUGAAGGCCUUAGGGUUGUAAAGCUUUUUUACCCGGGAUGAUAAUGACAGUACCGGGAGAAUAAGCUCCGGCUAACUCCGUGCCAGCCGCCGCCGUAA